GACGAACGCUGGCGGCGUGCUUAACACAUGCAAGUCGAACGGAAAGGCCCUGCUUUUGUGGGGUGCUCGAGUGGCGAACGGGUGAGUAACACGUGAGUAACCUGCCCUUGACUUUGGGAUAACUUCAGGAAACUGGGGCUAAUACCGGAUAGGGGCCCCUGCUGCAUGGUGGGGGUUGGAAAGUUUCGGCGGUUGGGGAUGGACUCGCGGCUUAUCAGCUUGUUGGUGGGGUAGUGGCUUACCAAGGCUUUGACGGGUAGCCGGCCUGAGAGGGUGACCGGCCACAUUGGGACUGAGAUACGGCCCAGACUCCUACGGGAGGCAGCAGUGGGGAAUAUUGCACAAUGGGCGGAAGCCUGAUGCAGCAACGCCGCGUGCGGGAUGACGGCCUUCGGGUUGUAAACCGCUUUCGCCUGUGACGAAGCGUGAGUGACGGUAAUGGGUAAAGAAGCACCGGCUAACUACGUG
rnacentral:rRNA from 1 species